rnacentral:rRNA from 3 species
UAACUAGGAUUUCCUUAGUAGCGGCGAGCGAACAGGAAAUAGCCCAGCACUGAAUCCCGCCGUUGUAACGGCGGCGGGAGAUGUGGUGUUCGGGAGGUUCCGCUUUCUUGUCGUCGUCCACUCCUGUCCAAGUUCGUCUUGAACGGGGCCCAUUUCCCAUAGAGGGUGCCAGGCCCGUAGCGACGGAGGACGUCGGCGAGAGGGACUCUCCUCAGAGUCGGGUUGCUUGAGAGUGCAGCCCUAAGUGGGUGGUAAACUCCAUCUAAGGCUAAAUAUUACCGCGAGACCGAUAGCGAACA